rfam:Myotis lucifugus cont2.6420, whole genome shotgun sequence.
GGCUGGGUAGCUCAGUUGGUUAGAGCAUCAUCCUGUACACCAAAAGGUUGUGGGUUCGAUUCCCAGUCAGGGCCU